rnacentral:rRNA from 1 species
UCCCAGACUCCUACGGGAGGCAGCAGUGGGGAAUAUUGCACAAUGGGGGAAACCCUGAUGCAGCAACGCCGCGUGAGUGAAGAAGUCCUUCGUGAUGUAAAGCUCUCUCAGCAGGGAAGAAAAUGACGGUACCUGAGUAAGAAGCCCCGGCUAACUACGUGCCAGCAGCCGCGGUAAUACGUAGGGGGCAAGCGUUAUCCGGAUUUACUGGGUGUAAAGGGAGCGUAGACGGCCAGACAAGUCUGAAGUGAAAAUCCAGCGCUUAACGGUGGAAGUGCUUUGGAAACUGCCGGGCUGGAGUGCAGGAGGGGCAGGCGGAAUUCCUAGUGUAGCGGUGAAAUGCGUAGAUAUUAGGAGGAACACCAGUGGCGAAGGCGGCCUGCUGGACUGCAACUGACGUUGAGGCUCGAAGGCGUGGGGAGCGAACAGGAUUAGAUACCCGCGUAC